CCUACGGGAGGCUGCAGUGGGGAAUAUUGGACAAUGGGCGAAAGCCUGAUCCAGCCAUGCCGCGUGUGUGAAGAAGGCCUUCGGGUUGUAAAGCACUUUCAGUGGGGAAGAAAGCCUUGGGGCUAAUACCCUCGAGGAAGGACAUCACCCACAGAAGAAGCACCGGCUAACUCCGUGCCAGCAGCCGCGGUAAUACGGAGGGUGCGAGCGUUAAUCGGAAUUACUGGGCGUAAAGCGCGCGUAGGCGGUCUGAUAAGCCGGUUGUGAAAGCCCCGGGCUCAACCUGGGAACGGCAUCCGGAACUGUCAGGCUAGAGUGCAGGAGAGGAAGGUAGAAGUCCCGGUGUAGCGGUGAAAUGCGUAGAGAUCGGGAGGAAUACCAGUGGCGAAGGCGGCCUUCUGGACUGACACUGACGCUGAGGUGCGAAAGCGUGGGUAGCAAACAGGAUUAGAUCCCCCAGUAGUC
rnacentral:rRNA from 1 species